UCACGCCGGUCUAAACUCAGAUCAUGUAAAAUUUUAAAGGUCGAACAGACCCAAUCUCUUAGCUGCUACACCAAGAAUUAAUUUUAAUCCAACAUCGAGGUCGCAAACUUUUCUUUCGAUUAGAACUCUCAAAAAAUAUUACGCUGUUAUCCCUAAGGUAAUUUUUUCUUUUAAUCACAAAAUAUGGAUCAAAUAAUCAUAUAUUAAUGUUUUUUAACAAAAAAAGUUAAUUUAAUUUUUCAAUCACCCCAAUUAAAUAUAAUAAAAAAUUAAAAAUUUAUAUACUAAUAAAUAUUAAAUUACUAUUUAUAUAAAACUCUAUAGGGUCUUCUCGUCUUUUAAAAUAAUUUUAGCUUUUUAACUAAAUAAUAAAUUUUUAACUUAAUUAAAAUAGAGACAGCUAUUUUCUCAUCCAACCAUUCAUUCCAGCUUCUAAUUAAGAAACUAAUGAUUAUGCUACCUUAGCACAGUCAAAAUACCGCGGCCAUUAAACUAAUAAUCAGUGGGCAGGCUAAACCUAAAAUUAAAUUCAAUAGGACAUGUUUUUAAUAAACAGGUGAAAAAUAUAUUUGCCGAAUUCCUUUAUUCAACCUUAAAUUUUCAAAUAAAAAUUACAUCAAAAUUAUACUAAUUUUAUCAUUAUUCCUUAAUAUAAAAAAUUAAAAUUAAAAUUUCAAUAAAAAAUUUAUAGAAAAUAAAAAUUAAUUUUAAAAAAAAAUAAAUUAUAACAUUCUUUUAACAAUAGACACUUCUAAUCUUAUAACUUUUUCUAAUUCUUAAAUCUAAUAAUUUUAUAUUUUUAAGCUCAUCCCUAAAAAUAUUAAAUAUUAAUAUUAAAAAAUUAAAAAAUUAAAUUUUUAAUAAAUAAUAUUCUAAAUUAAAUUUUUUUCUUAAAAAACUAGAUAUAUUUAAAAACGAAUAACAUUUAAUUACAAAGAACCUAUUAUUAAUAUUUUUUUAACAAUAAAAAAAAUAAAUUCUUAACUCUUUUAAAUUCGAGAUAAUAAAAAUCCUUUAAAUUAUUUAAUAAACCCUGAUACACAAGGUACGAAAACUCAAAUCUUCUUAUUUCUAAUUAAAUAAAUUCUUUCACAAUACUCAUAAACUAUAAUAAAAUAUAUUUUUUCUUUAUAAAUAAUAAAAAGUAAAUUAUUUAUAAUAAAAUAAAAUUAACUAAUAAUAUUAAUAAUUUUUUAAUU
rnacentral:rRNA from 1 species